rnacentral:misc_RNA from 1 species
AACGCACAUUGCGCCCGCUGGUAUUCCAGCGGGCAUGCCUGUUCGAGCGUCAUUUCAACCCUCAAAUACCUCUCUGUAUUUGGUGUUGGGGCAUAGCCUGGUAACAAGGGCUAGCCCUCAAAUUCAGUGGCGUGCUCACUAAGACUCCGAGCGUAGUAAUUUUUUCUCGCUUAGGCCUAUUAGUGAUGCGUAGCCGUUAAACCCGCCACCGCGCACCUUUUGAAAAGUUGACCUCGGAUCAGGUAGGAAUACCCGCUGAACUUAA